rnacentral:rRNA from 1 species
GACGAACGCUGGCGGCGUGCUUAACACAUGCAAGUCGAACGGAAAGGCCCUGCUUUUUUGGGGUUCUCGAGUGGCGAACGGGUGAGUAACACGUGAGUAACCUGCCCUUUACUGUGGGAUAACUUCAGGAAACUGGGGCUAAUACCGGAUAGGAGCUCCUGCUGCAUGGUGGGGGUUGGACAGUUUCGGCGGUUGGGGAUGGACUCGCGGCUUAUCAGCUUGUUGGUGGGGUAGUGGCUUACCAAGGCUUCGGCGGGUAGCCGGCCUGAGAGGGUGACCGGCCACAUUGGGACUGAGAUACGGCCCAGACGCCUACGGGAGGCAGCAGUGGGGAGUAUUGCACAAUGGGCGGAAGCCUGAGGAAGCGACGCCGCGUGCGGGAUGACGGCCUUCGGGUUGUAAACCGCUUUCGCCUGUGACGAAGCGUGAGUGACGGUAAUGGGAAAAGAAGCACCGGCUAACUACGUG